UCCGAAAGGAGCGCUAAUACCGCAUGACGUCUGGGUUUGAAGACCUGGACACCAANGUCGGGGACCGCAAGGCCUGACGCUUGGAGAGGAGCCCGCGCCUGAUUAGCUAGUUGGUGAGGUAACGGCUCACCAAGGCAACGAUCAGUAGCCGGCCUGAGAGGGCGGACGGCCACACUGGGACUGAGACACGGCCCAGACUCCUACGGGAGGCAGCAGUGGGGAAUUGUUCGCAAUGGGCGCAAGCCUGACGACGCAACGCCGCGUGGAGGAUGAAGGUCUUCGGAUUGUAAACUCCUGUUGACCGGGAAGAAUGGACCCUGGGUAAAUACCCCGGGGUAAUGACGGUACCGGUUGAGGAAGCCACGGCUAACUCUGUGCCAGCAGCCGCGGUAAUACAGAGGUGGCAAGCGUUGUUCGGAAUUACUGGGCGUAAAGGGCGCGUAGGCGGUCGCCUAAGUCGGACGUGAAAUCCCCAAGCUUAACUUGGGAACUGCGUCCGAUACUGGGGGACUUGAGUUCGGGAGAGGUAUGUGGAAUUCCAGGUGUAGCGGUGAAAUGCGUAGAUAUCUGGAGGAACACCGGUGGCGAAGGCGGCAUUCUGGACCGAAACUGACGCUGAGGCGCGAAAGCCAGGGGAGCAAACG
rnacentral:rRNA from 1 species